rnacentral:rRNA from 1 species
AGUGAACGCUGGCGGUAGGCCUAACACAUGCAAGUCGAACGGCAGCACAGUAAGAGCUUGCUCUUACGGGUGGCGAGUGGCGGACGGGUGAGGAAUACAUCGGAAUCUACUUUUUCGUGGGGGAUAACGUAGGGAAACUUACGCUAAUACCGCAUACGACCUACGGGUGAAAGCAGGGGAUCUUCGGACCUUGCGCGAUUCAAUGAGCCGAUGUCGGAUUAGCUAGUUGGCGGGGUAAAGUCCCACCAAGGCGACGAUCCGUAGCUGGUCUGAGAGGAUGAUCAGCCACACUGGAACUGAGACACGGUCCAGACUCCUACGGGAGGCAGCAGUGGGGAAUAUUGGACAAUGGGCGCAAGCCUGAUCCAGCCAUACCGCGUGGGUGAAGAAGGCCUUCGGGUUGUAAAGCCCUUUUGUUGGGAAAGAAAAGCAGCAGGUUAAUACCCCGCUGUUCUGACGGUACCCAAAGAAUAAGCACCGGCUAACUUCGUG